rnacentral:rRNA from 1 species
CGCUGGCGGCGCGCCUAACACAUGCAAGUCGAACGAGAGAUGAGGAGCUUGCUCUUCAGAUCGAGUGGCGAACGGGUGAGUAACGCGUGAGGAACCUGCCUCAAAGAGGGGGACAACAGUUGGAAACGACUGCUAAUACCGCAUAAUACAAGUAAUUCGCAUGAAUAACUUGCCAAAGAUUAUAUCGGUGUGAGAUGGAUCCGCGUCUGAUUAGCUUGUUGGCGGGGUAACGGCCCACCAAGGCGACGAUCAGUAGGGGUUCUGAGAGGAAGGUCCCCCACAUUGGAACUGAGACACGGUCCAAACUCCUACGGGAGGCAGCAGUGAGGAAUAUUGGUCAAUGGACGAGAGUCUGAACCAGCCAAGUAGCGUGCAGGAUGACGGCCCUAUGGGUUGUAAACUGCUUUUAUAAGGGAAUAAAGUGAGUCUCGUGAGGCUUUUUGCAUGUACCUUAUGAAUAAGGACCGGCUAAUUCCGUG